GUGUAGCCCUGUUCAUCCUCACUUUUGUGGUGGACCUUUGGAAUGGACCCAGAGUGAUGUAAACUUGCAGUAAUGACUCUUGAGCAGAAAGCAAUCGAGUGAUAACAGCCGGGCGGAGAUCAUCUGGAAGAUUGCCUUUGCUUCGCUUUAUUAAAGAGAGAAAACAUUCAGAGAAGUUCAAUGGGGGAAAAAUAAAGCAGAAGUUUUUGUGGAUUACAGGGUGACAAUAUGAGCUCUGGAAGCCAUGUGUUGACAGCAUAUGGAUAGCACAUUCCAGUUCUUAGCCAAAAUAGCCAGUUGAUAUGGACUUUCCAGCUUCUUACUUAAGGAAAUAGACCUCUAAUUCCAAUAGUUCAAUGGGGGAAAAAUAAACCAGAAGUUUUUGUGGAUUACA
rnacentral:lncRNA from 1 species